rnacentral:rRNA from 1 species
GAUGAACGCUGGCGGCGUGCCUAAUACAUGCAAGUCGAGCGAACGGACGAGAAGCUUGCUUUUCUGAUGUUAGCGGCGGACGGGUGAGUAACACGUGGAUAACCUACCUAUAAGACUGGGAUAACUUCGGGAAACCGGACUAAUACCGGAUAAUAUUUUGAACCGCAUGGUUCAAAAGUGAAAGACGGUCUUGCUGUCACUUAUAGAUGGAUCCGCGCUGCAUUAGCUAGUUGGUAAGGUAACGGCUUACCAAGGCAACAAUGCAUAGCCGACCUGAGAGGGUGAUCGGCCACACUGGAACUGAGACACGGUCCAGACUCCUACGGGAGGCAGCAGUAGGGAAUCUUCCGCAAUGGGCGAAAGCCUGACGGAGCAACGCCGCGUGAGUGAUGAAGGUCUUCGGAUCGUAAAACUCUGUUAUUAGGGAAGAACAUAUGUGUAAGUAACUGUGCACAUCUUGACGGUACCUAAUCAGAAAGCCACGGCUAACUACGUG